ACGUACUGCAUCUGCAUAUAUAAAUUGAUGCCAUAUAGAGAUCAAUGGUGCAAGUAUCUUCGGCUCCAAUAUUCUCUAUCUUCGUUGCUAAAUUUCUUGUUUAAAUAACUCUCCAUCACUUUCUAAGUCUCCAAUGCCGAUCCAGUACAUUAAACACUGAUAUUGGAAGGUGAUGGAGAGUUGUUUAAACGAGAAUUUUCGCAAUUAAGUUGAAGAAUUGGUCGGAAGCCUUUUCAGGAAAAAAAGACUAAAAUUAUAGCUCGAGGAAUUAAAGAAAUCAAAGAGCAUGCCUUGAAGAGAAAAUAAGUAGUGGUGGAGGAUGAAGAUGAGCUUGACCUAUGUUCGAAUAUCCAUGUGACAUAAGAAGAGUUUGAAGAAUGGCGCUCUCCAUGGUGGAAUACUUUGGUGAUAAACAUUUUCGGCAAACGUGUGUCAUAUGGGAUUGUUCGUAUUGUGGAUAUGUCACAAGACUACAUUUUAGAUCAGCUCUCAACUGAAAAAGAUUAUAAACAUGCCUU